AGCCAUCAGACGAUAUUUUUGGUUUAACCUGCCCAAUGUGAGAAUGAAUGGCCGCGGUACUCUGACCGUGCUAAGGUAGCGUAAUCAGUUGGCUUUUAAAUGGAGUCAGGUAUGAAUGGAUUAACCUGGUUUAACUGUCUUUAAAACAUUAUAUUGAAUUUACUGUUUAAGUGAAAAAGCUUAAUUUAAGAAAAGGGACGAGAAGACCCUUAGAAUUUUUUUUAAAGAAAUAUUAAUUUCUAUAAUUUUGUUGGGGCGACAGAGAAAUAUUUAUAACUUUCUGUUAAUAUACAUGCCGAUUAUUUUAUGAAAGAAUAAAUUACCUGAGGGAUAACAGCAUAAUUCUAAAGAUGAGUUUGUGACCUCGAUGUUGGACUAGGAAACUAGUAAGUUAGCCGUUUACUGUGUGGGUU
rnacentral:rRNA from 1 species